rnacentral:rRNA from 1 species
GGGAUAACCCUGGGAAACUGGGGAUAAUACUGGAUAGGCAAUUUUUCCUGUAAUGGUUUUUUGUUUAAAUGUUUUUUCGCCUAAGGAUGGGUCUGCGGCCGAUUAGGUAGUUGGUUAGGUAAUGGCUUACCAAGCCGUUGAUCGGUACGGGUUGUGAGAGCAAGAGCCCGGAGAUGGAACCUGAGACAAGGUUCCAGGCCCUACGGGGUGCAGCAGGCGCGAAACCUCCGCAAUGUGAGAAAUCGCGACGGGGGGAUCCCAAGUGCCAUUCUUAACGGGAUGGCUUUUCAUUAGUGAAAAAAGCUUUUGGAAUAAGAGCUGGGCAAGACCGGUGCCAGCCGCCGCGGUAACACCGGCAGCUCUAGUGGUAGCAAUUUUUAUUGGGCCUAAAGCGUCCGUAGCCGGUUUAAUAAGUCUCUGGUGAAAUCCUGCAGCUUAACUGUGGGAAUUGCUGGAGAUACUAUUAGACUUGAGACCGGGAGAGGUUAGAGGUACUCCCAGGGUAGAGGUGAAAUUCUGUAAUCCUGGGAGGACCGCCUGUUGCGAAGGCGUCUAACUGGAACGGUUCUGACGGUGAGGGACGAAAGUUAGGGGCGCGAACCGGAUUAGAUACCCGGGUAGUCCUAACUGUAAACGAUGCGGACUUGGUGUUGGGGUGGCUUUGAGCUGUCUCAGUGCCGAAGGGAAGCUGUUAAGUCCGCCGCCUGGGAAGUACGGGCGCAAGACUGAAACUUAA